rnacentral:rRNA from 1 species
AACUAACGCUGGCGGCGUGCCUAACACAUGCAAGUCGUACGAGAAAGUUGGCUUCGGCCGAUGAGUAAAGUGGCGCACGGGUGAGUAAUGCGUGGAUAAUCUGCCCUUUAGUUGGGAAUAACGUACCGAAAGGUGCGCUAAUACCUGAUAAUACUGCAUAACUACUGUUGUGUAGUCAAAGAAGGCCUCUGUUUACAAGCUUUUGCUGAAGGAUGAGUCCGCGUACCAUUAGCUGGUUGGUGGGGUAAUGGCCUACCAAGGCUACGAUGGUUAGCUGGUCUGAGAGGAUGAUCAGCCACACUGGAACUGAGACACGGUCCAGACUCCUACGGGAGGCAGCAGUGAGGAAUAUUGCGCAAUGGGGGCAACCCUGACGCAGCAACGCCGCGUGAGUGAGGAAGGUUUUCGGAUUGUAAAGCUCUGUCGAGCGGAAAGAAAUGCACGAUGGCUAAUAUCCAUCAUGCUUGACGGUACCG